rnacentral:rRNA from 1 species
AUUGAACGCUGGCGGCAGGCCUAACACAUGCAAGUCGAGCGGAUGAAGGGAGCUUGCUCCUGGAUUCAGCGGCGGACGGGUGAGUAAUGCCUAGGAAUCUGCCUGGUAGUGGGGGAUAACGUCCGGAAACGGGCGCUAAUACCGCAUACGUCCUGAGGGAGAAGGUGGGGGAUCUUCGGACCGCACGCUAUCAGAUGAGCCUAGGUCGGAUUAGCUAGUUGGUGGGGUAAAGGCCUACCAAGGCGACGAUCCGUAACUGGUCUGAGAGGAUGAUCAGUCACACUGGAACUGAGACACGGUCCAGACUCCUACGGGAGGCAGCAGUGGGGAAUAUUGGACAGUGGGCGAAAGUCUGAUCCAGCCAUGCCGCGUGUGUGAAGAAGGUCUUCGGAUUGUAAAGCACUUUAAGUUGGGAGGAAGGGCAGUAAGUUAAUACCUUGCUGUUUUGACGUUACCAACAGAAUAAGCACCGGCUAACUUCGUG